AUUACUUUUCUUCUAAUGGAUGCAUCGAAGCUAUUUGUCAUUUCUGCUCGAAAUUUGUUGACCAAUGCCUUUGCCAAAUGUGUCCAAAACUGUACUUACUUAGAUGUAGUGGAGAAAAUAUCCUGUGGUAACUGUCCUUAGAUGCAGUGGAGAAAAUACCCUGUGGUAACCAAGUUAUGAUGAAAAAUUCCAUGGAAACCACAUUUGGAAGUUCUGAAAUUGUAAAAAGAAAACAGCUUGUUAGGAGGAGAUGCUCAUGUGAAAUUUCUAGUUCAAACUCAUAUCCAUUCUGGAGGUAUGUAAAAACAAGUUCAUCUAGUGGUGUUUUACUAUUCACCACUAUUUUCUGAAUUUGUUUCUAUUAAUACCUCCCAAAUGAAUUUGAUUUUGAGCCUGAGAUGUUACAUGCUUAUAGAAAUUCACCUCCCCAACAUACUUUGUGUUUUGAUUUUUUUGGAUACCUUUUACACUUUAUGCUAAUUUCAGGGGCUGAUUUUUUUUCUCAGUCUAUUUGUUGCCCUUUAACCCUGUUAUGCCUGCGAUUGGCGGGGUGCCCAUUGUUUCCAGCCUCUGAAGCCCAUUAACAAUGGUUGUAUGGCCCAUUUGGGUGUCGCCUAAAUAGAUUACGCUUGCUGGAUCAAAUCUAUAGCUAAUUAGCCACCAGCAGUAAACAUAAGCUAAUCAGCCAGCAUUUGCUAAAAGAAAAGGUAGUUAGCAUCCAUAGGCAGAUCUCCAAGCUGCACCCAGCCUUGCACACAUUUUAAUUUGCUCUGUAGACACUUUAUAAUUCAUCCUUUGAAGAUUAUCAUAGAAUAGUUGCACUUUGUUCUUCUACGUUAUGGAGUAUUGCAAGCUACCUGUAAUCUACUCCCUCCGUUCCUAAAUAUAAGUCUUUUAAGAGAUUUCAAUAUGGACUACAUACGGAUGUAUAUAGACAUAUUUUAGAGUGUAGAUUCACUCAUUUUGCUUCGUAUGUAGUCCACAUUGAAAUCUCUAAAAGACUUAUAUUUAGGAAUGGAGGGAGUAUGUGCAUAAUUUCAAUCUUGAUCUUUUUAUUUGUUUUCCUGCGUAGUUUGCUAUUCUCUUUCUUUUCUGUCAGGGUAGAAAUUACUCCCAAGAUUUUUGCCUAUUAGUGCCAAAGGCGCACCUUCGCGCCCGCCCGCAGGCAGUUUGCUAACAAUUUCAGCUUCAAAUAAAUUGUUCUCUGAAUAACUCCAGCGGUCCAAUCAUUGCAAGCGCUGGGGCACCAACAAAAUCCUCACUGGUGUUACGGUGUUACCACGGGUAAUUAGACGAUAUGUAAGCCAGGAAACACAUAUAUACUGAGAGCAACAAAUUCUUUUUGAGUUAUAUAUAAGAGCAGUAUAAAAACAAAGAGAAAUCCUAACUGGGAAAAUUACACGGAACAACUGAGCCAAGUUCACUUAGAAAUUGAAACUAAUACAUGAUACAUCAUUUUUUUUUCUGCCAUGGUAAUAUUAUCAGUUCAGCAUGAUUAUCAGUCUACAAUCGCACCCAAACUUAGGAAAGUAAGACAUGCCAGGAAGUAGUACAAUACACUAAUUUGGUAGAAGUUUGAACAUAAAGUUGCGAUUGUUAGGCUCCAGUGCUCCACAGGAGGCGGGUGGCUCUCUAAAAUCUUCCAACCUGCUACCACUACCAUAAAGGCAAAUAGAACUGUGGAGAAGGCGUGAAUCAUCAGCUACUUGGUUAGGUCAUGGCCGUGACAUUUAAUGCUAUAUUGCUGUGCUAACCACUCCUAUGACACGUAUGGCAAUAGCAAACAAAGCAGGAUUACAUAACCAAAAGACUAUAACAGGCAUGAAAAUGGGACCUGGCAGCACCACACACAUCACUGAUUCAAUACAUGGCACCUCUCUUAGACCAACCUAGCAUGGACUUCUAAGAGUUCAGGUUCAUCUGUUCACCUUUUCGACCAACCAUGGAUAAAGUCUACCAGGUCAGAUCUAGUGAACCUUCGUCCAAACCAUGAAGCAUAACAGGACCAUUGACACAAGUAUGCCAUGUCAUAUACUGCACCCAGAUAUUCUGUAUAGCAGGACAAGAAUAGUUCACAGUUAUACACCAGACAAUUAGCUGUAAGUCUUACAUAAAUUCAUGCAACAACGAG